GGCCCGCACAAGCGGUGGAGUAUGUGGUUUAAUUCGACGCAACGCGCAGAACCUUACCCAGUCUUGACAUCCCUGGACCACUAUGGAGACAUAGCUUUUCAACCUAACGGAAGAAUCAGGUGACAGGUGCUGCAUGGCUGUCGUCAGCUCGUGUCGUGAGAUGUUCGUUAAGUCCGGUAACGAGCGCAACCCCUAUCCUUAGUUGCCAAUUAUGGAACUCUAAGGAGACUCCCGGUGUUAAACCGGCGGAAGAUGGGGAUGACGUCAAGUCCUCAUGGCCCUUAUCGGCUGGGGCUACACACGUACUACAAUGGCUAGGACAGACGGCCGCAACCGCGAGGGGAGCC
rnacentral:rRNA from 1 species